AACGAACGCUGGCGGCAUGCCUAACACAUGCAAGUCGAACGAAGUCUUCGGACUUAGUGGCGCACGGGUGCGUAACGCGUGGGAAUCUGCCCUUGGGUACGGAAUAACUCAGAGAAAUUUGUGCUAAUACCGUAUAAUGUCUUCGGACCAAAGAUUUAUCGCCCAAGGAUGAGCCCGCGUAAGAUUAGCUAGUUGGUGGGGUAAAAGCCUACCAAGGCGAUGAUCUUUAGCUGGUCUGAGAGGAUGAUCAGCCACACUGGGACUGAGACACGGCCCAGACUCCUACGGGAAGCAGCAGUGGGGAAUAUUGGACAAUGGGCGAAAGCCUGAUCCAGCAAUGCCGCGUGAGUGAUGAAGGCCCUAGGGUUGUAAAGCUCUUUUACCAGGGAUGAUAAUGACAGUACCUGGAGAAUAAGCUCCGGCUAACUCCGUG
rnacentral:rRNA from 1 species